rnacentral:rRNA from 1 species
GACGAACGCUGGCGGCGUGCUUAACACAUGCAAGUCGAACGAUGAAGAAGAGAAACGCGAACUUCGGUUCAAAUUUCACUUCGGAUUAGUGGCAGACGGGUGAGCAACGCGUGAGCAACCUACCUCUUACAAAGGGAUAGCCUCGGGAAACCGUGAUUAAUACCAUAUGACACAUUCAUAAGGCAUCUUAAGAAUGUUAAAGCUACGGCGGUAAGAGAUGGGCUCGCGUCCCAUUAGCUAGUUGGUGAGGUAACGGCCCACCAAGGCGACGAUGGGUAACCGGCCUGAGAGGGUGAACGGUCACAUUGGAACUGAGACACGGUCCAAACUCCUACGGGAGGCAGCAGUGGGGAAUAUUGCACAAUGGAGGGAACUCUGAUGCAGCGACGCCGCGUGAGCGAUGAAGGAAUUCGUUUCGUAAAGCUCUGUUCUAUGGGAAGAAAAGGACUGUACCAUAGGAGAAAGCCCCGGCUAAAUACGUG